rnacentral:lncRNA from 1 species
CUUAAGAAGGCCUUUAAGCGGUUUUCCGCCCUGGGUGGGCCAGGUGUUCCUUGCCCUCAUUCCCGUAAACCCACAACCUUCCAGCUUGGGCGUUAGGGCCAUUAUGAACAUGUUACAGUGCUGCAGAGAUUUUGUUUAUGGCCAGUUUUGGGGCCAGUUUACGGCCAGAUUUUGGGGGGCCUGCUCCCAACAGUCCCCGUCAAAAUCUCAUGUUGAAUUGUAAUCCCCGUAAUCCUCAUAAUGCCUGUGUAUCAAGGGAGAGACCAGGUGGAGGUAAUUGAAUUAUGGGGGUGGUUUCCCCAAUGCUUUUCUCAUGAGAGUGAGUGAGCGCUCAAAUAUCUGAUGGUUUUUAAGGGGCUCUUCCCCCUUUGCUUGGCCAUUCUCCUUCUUGCCGCCUUGUAAAGCAGGUGCUUGGCUUUCCCUUCGCCUUCUAUCAUGAUUGGUUAUUCUUUGUACAGAGGAUGAAGAAAUCCAUGUGCACAGAUUGGACUUCUCCCUUGGGCCGCGGAGAUGUUCCCAACUGUCUCCCGGACAUUUCCAGCUCAGAGUCAACAGAUGAUUGGAGAGUUAUCUCAUCUGCUACAUAUUUACUUAGUCACAUCUCCUAACUGCUCCAAUCACCCAAGAGCAAAAUCUAAGUGUCUGCCUUAAUAGUUCUUAUCAAUGCAUCACCAUUCACAGAUGUGCAUGCACUUAUACAUACACUCCUUCAAUCCAUCCUACGUGGUGUUGAUUGUAUCUCCAAUACAUUCUUCAUAACCCUUCUUUCUUCUCUGCCUUCUACAGUCCCUAUCCUGGACAAGACACUAAUAAUUUCUGAGGGGUAUAAUUUUAAUACAUUAUUCUCUGAACUCCCUACUGACAAUUCAUGUUCUUCACAUUGCAAAUAAAGUUCUCGCUCUCUAAAAUGGCAG